ACAUGUAUGCUUGAUGUCAAGAAAAUUUUGUGUGAGGAUAUUUUUGUCAUUUCACAUGAAAUACUGAUGAGUUUGUAUGGCUUUAUUAGACGUCUGGCAUCAGAUACGUGCCAUUCUCUCCCUCCAUAUCAUCUUUAUGUUGUCAUCUCCAUUAUCUCCAUUAAUAAGCAUGUAAAAACAUUAUACAAAUUUUAUUCCUGAUGAGGUUUGGUUGUUGUAAGGAAUUGGGGUUUCUCUGGGUUAGUGAAAUUAGCAUUUUUGUUUUGAAAAAUUCUAUCUAUUUGUGAAUUUUGACCUGUUCUUCCCAGUUGAGGAAUUUUUUUGGUGGGCUUUGUUUUGUGAAAGUUGAGUAAUUUUACUGCUGAAUUUUGAUGGUGGAUUUUGUUUUUAAAGAGUUAAUUAGCUUUUAUGGUUGAAUUUUGCUGAUGGGUUUUGACUUGGGAGUCUUGGGAUUGCUAGAAAUUGCAGUAUUUGAAUAUAGUUGCUUCCUUUUCCUUAUCUAAUUUUGUUGGUGGGUUUUAAUUUGAGACCAGACCGGCUAUAACAAAAUAAGAGCUAACUAUUUUUCUUUUGAUUUUUUACUGUAGCAUAAAUAAAAUAAUAGUAUUUCUUCAGUUUUUCAAUAGAGAAGGGUAACCAAAUUUUAUCCUUCUUAAUCUUAUUCACAUCUAUUAACGUUGGUUACUGAUAAUUUAUUGUUUUUGCCUAUUGCUCUUGCCUUGCAUUUUGCAGUUGUUGUAUCCUAACUCUCUAUCCGUGUUGCUCCAGCUAAUGUUUUCUUUACCAAAAUUACAUUUGAGAAAUGUAGUGCAUUUACUAUUGUAUAAUGUGUGGCUAUAUCUUACUAGUAAGUAAUGUGCAUAUAUUAAUCAGUGCUAGAAAUCAAUGUUGUAAUGUCAACUAGGAAUAAAAUAAUAGAUAAAACCUUUAAUAAAGAGCAUGAAGAUAAAAAAACCUAGACAUCACGAACUAUAUAAAAUGAUGCAAGCUAAUAAGAAAGAGGAUUUGUUAACGAGAGCGAGAACUAAUAAAGUUGAAUCAUGCAGAAGAUAAUUUGUUGCUGGUUCAAUUAGUUCAACCGACCAAUCCCUCUUCUUUUAGAGGAUUUGCUACUUCGGUUCGGACUAGGUUGGGAAAUUACACUAACAGUUAUUUGGAUAGCAUUAGUAUUGGUAUAAUAUUAAUUGUAAUUGCGUGACAGGAUCAACAUCAAACAUUGACAAAUUCUGUCAUGUUAGAAUUUGUUCCAAAAUAUAACUUCUAUGGUGCGAAAAGAUUUGAAUACGAGUUACCUGCUUUCUAUUGUGGCAAAGGUGCUACCAAGCUAAUUUCUACCAAGUUUCAAUAGAAUUAAGAAAUCUUUGUCUAGGAAAUGUUGAGGAAUCAAAACAGUAUACUAGAGGUUUCUGGGACUUAUUUUGUGCUAUCAAAUUCUUCCUUAGGGUUCUUAUCUUCAAUUAUUUUUAGUUCAAUCUUCGGUGAAAACCCCCUCUUAUCUCGUGAACAACUGUUGGAAAUCAGUGCCUAAGAAGUUUGGUCACUCUGUUAAGCAAAGCAAGUUGGGUUGGAUCAAAAACAUUCAGAGAGCUUGCUUAUUUGGUCGGACGGGUCGGAGGAUGAUCAUAGUGAUGGUUGGUCUUUAAGAUUUUGACAAAUUGGAAGCGUGCUCACUGCUACAUAAAAGUUUACAAAGCUCAGGAAGAUGUUUGCGGUAAUAAAUUUUGUUGUUUCAGUUUUCCACUUAUCAAAUUUGUCAUUGGAGUAGCUGUGUGUCGUUAUACCACUUAUCUUGCAAUAUAUGAAGUCUAAGACACAACAUUUCUAUGAUUUAUUUUUUAUUCAGGAGUCCUGGCAAAGUGUAUUUAGUGAUGGGCAUUUUUUUGUUGGUUACUCAAUUAUUCUCACUCAUGAAUUGUGUGAUAUGAAUUUAUGCUUAUGGACAUUGACAAUUAAUAGUUUCAAUUGAUACUCGAUAGGAAAUGUUGGCAAAA